rnacentral:rRNA from 1 species
UACGUAGGAGACAAACGUUAUCCGGAGUUACUGGGCGUAAAGGGCGUGUAGGUGGUAGAGUAAGUCUGGCGUGAAAUUUUUCGGCUUAACCGGGAAAGGUCGUCGGAUACUGCUUAACUAGAGGACGGUAGAGGCGUGUGGAAUUCCGGGUGUAGUGGUGAAAUGCGUAGAGAUCCGGAGGAACACCAGUGGCGAAGGCGACACGCUGGGCCGUACCUGACACUGAUGCGCGACAGCAUGGGGAGCAAACAGG